rnacentral:sRNA from 1 species
UUGUAGGCGAGCACCACCUGUGGAUGCAGAGAUUCUGCGCACCAUGAAGAAGGUGGGCUUCAUUGGCUAUGCACCCAAUCCCCGCACCAGGCUGCGCAAUCAGAUACCUUACAGACUCAAGGAGUCAGACAGUGAAUUUGACAGCUUCAGCCAGGUCACUGAGUCACCAGUAGGACGAGAAGAGGAACCACAUCUCCACAUGGUUUCUAAGAAAUACCGCAAGGUGCUGGGGGACAUCAGGGCCUGUGGGAUGUGGGGAAGGGUACCCUGGGAAGGAAGUCAUAUGAGAAAGGAUUGAAGGACUCAGUCAGGAGGCCUUCACCUACCACCCUGGACCCAGGAGGAAGGUUCUAGGAAAGGCUGUGGCUACUGGAAAGAUCUGGGGACUCCGAGAAUAUCCUUGUCUUGCUCAGACAAUUUCUGCCUUAGGUGACCAUCAAAUAUUCCAAGCUAGGGCUGGAGGACUUUGACUUCAAACACUACAAUAAGACCUUGUUUGCUGGAUUA